GUUAUCCGGAAUCAUUGGGUUUAAAGGGUCCGUAGGCGGGCGUCUAAGUCAGUGGUGAAAUCUCGCGGCUCAACCGUGAAAUUGCCAUUGAUACUGGUCGCCUUGAAUUAGUGUGAAGUGGCUAGAAUAUGUAGUGUAGCGGUGAAAUGCUUAGAUAUUACAUAGAAUACCGAUUGCGAAGGCAGGUCACUAACACUAUAUUGACGCUGAUGGACGAAAGCGUGGGGAGCGAACAGGAUUAGAUACCCUGGUAGUCCACGCCGUAAACGAUGGAUACUAGCUGUCCGGCCUGCAUUGGUAGGCUGGGUGGCCAAGCGAAAGUGAUAAGUAUCCCACCUGGGGAGUACGUUCGCAAGAAUGAAACUCAAAGGAAUUGACGGGGGCCCGCACAAGCGGUGGAGCAUGUGGUUUAAUUCGAUGAUACGCGAGGAACCUUACCAGGGCUUAAAUGUAGUCUGACAGGGGUGGAAACACCCCCUUCUUCGGACAGACUGCAAGGUGCUGCAUGGUUGUCGUCAGCUCGUGCCGUGAGGUGUCGGGUUAAGUCCUAUAACGAGCGCAACCCCUGUCGUUAGUUGCCAGCAUGUAAAGAUGGGAACUCUAACGAGACUGCCGGUGCAAACCGUGAGGAAGGUGGGGAUGACGUCAAAUCAUCACGGCCCUUACGUCCUGGGCCACACACGUGCUACAAUGGCAGGUACAAUGGGCAGCCACGCCGCAAGGCGGAGCGAAUCCACAAAACCUGUCUCAGUUCGGAUCGGGGUCUGCAACUCGACCCCGUGAAGCUGGAAUCGCUAGUAAUCGGAUAUCAGCCAUGAUCCGGUGAAUACGUCCCCGGGCCUUGUACACACCGCCCGUCAAGCCAUGGAAGCUGGAAGCACCUGAAGUCCGUCACCGCGAGGAGCGGCCUAGGGUGAAGCUGGUAACUGGGGCUAA
rnacentral:rRNA from 1 species